UGGUUUGGUUUUACAAUUUGGGUUUAGGGUUUGGGUUAAGGGUUUACGGUUUGGGUUUAGGGUUUAGAGUUUGGGUUUAGGGGGGUUUUGGGUUUAGGGUUUGGGUUUAGGGUCUACGGUUUGGGUUUAGGGUUUAGACCUUCAAGGUUAGGGUUUAGGUAGCUCCGUUAUGGGCAAUGGUUUGGUUUUACAAUUUGGGUUUAGGGUUUGGGUUAAGGGUUUACGGUUUGGGUUUAGGGUUUAGAAUUUGGGUUUAGGGGAGUUUAGGGUUUAGGUAGCUCUGUUUGGGUCAAUGGUUUGGGUUAAGAAUUUGUGUUUAGGGUUUGGGUUUAUGGUUUAGAGUUUUGGUUUAGGGUUUAGGUAGCUCUGUUAUGGUUUAUGGUUUGGGUUUAGGGUAUACGAUUUGGGUUUAAAGUAUACGGUUUGGGUUUAGGGUUUAAGGGUCUACUGUUUGGGUUUAGAGUUUAGAGUUUGGGUUUAGGGUUUAGGGUUUAGUGUUUAGAGUUUGGGUUUAGGUAGCGGGUUUAGGGUUUAUUUGGUUGUGUUUCAUUAUGUUGGUAACCAACAUCAAUUGUCAUACUCUUCUAAAUGAAAUAUAGUAUAGUACAAGUGAAAUUAUUCGUGUGACUAUUGUAACUAUUAUAUUAUACUGUUUUUUAUUGUGAAAGUGUAG
rnacentral:lncRNA from 1 species